rnacentral:sRNA from 1 species
GGGAGACUCCUCACCCAGGCCCUCCUGAGGCGCCCCCUGAUUCUGUCACAUGCCCUAUUCUGUCUUCAGAGCUCCUCUCCUUUGCCCGUUUGUCUCCAGACGUUUCUCCACCCCCACACAUAAAUCCCAGAGGGGCAGGCUGCUAUGCCCCCAGGGCCGUAGGGAAAAUACGCAUCAUUAAUUUAUGCCAGCAGUAGGGGAGCGAAGGCAGUCAUGUAAACCUCAAAAUGAGGCCCACUCCAGAGACCCCAUCAGCUUGGCCACGAGGAAGCCAAACCCGCCUCGUGUUCCUCGGUCCCCACCCCUGUCCCCGCCCCAAGAGACGUGCGGGUGCUCCAGGCUGGGCAUCUGUGCAUCUGCAGCCCCCUCACUGCCGUCUCGCCUUCUCCUCCUGCCCUGUUCAGAGCCCUCCCCCCUUGGCCUCGCCUCUUCGCCGGCGCACUGGCUGGAACGACAGCCGCUUCACUGACCUACCCCCUGGACCUGGUCAGAGCGCGGAUGGCCGUAACCCCGAAGGAAAUGUACAGCAACAUCUUUCAUGUCUUCAUCCGCAUCUCGAGAGAAGAGGGGCUGAAGACUCUCUACCAUGGAUUUAUGCCCACCGUGCUGGGGGUCAUUCCGUAUGCUGGCCUGAGCUUCUUCACCUAUGAGACGCUCAAGAGCUUGCACAGAGAGUACAGCGGCCGCCGGCAGCCCUACCCCUUCGAGCGCAUGAUAUUCGGCGCCUGCGCUGGCCUCAUCGGGCAGUCCG